rnacentral:rRNA from 1 species
AUUGAACGCUGGCGGCAGGCUUAACACAUCCAAGUCGAGCGAGCGGCGGACGGGUGAGUAAUGUAUCGGAAACUGCAUGAUGGAGGGGGAUAACUACUGGAAACGGUAGCUAAUAACGCAUACCAUCAGAUGUGCCCAGAUGGGAUUAGCUAGUAGGUGGGGUAAUGGCUCACCUAGGCUACGAUACCUAGCUAGUAGGAGAGGAUGACGAGCCACACUGGAACUGAGACACGGUCCAGACUCCGACGGGAGGCAGCCGUGGGGAAUAUUGCACAAUGGUCGCAAGCCUGAUACAGCCAUGCCGGGUGUGUGAAGAAGGCCUUCGGUUUGUAAAGCACUUUCAGCGAGGCGGCGUUACGCGCAGAAGAAGCACCGGCUAACUCCGUGCCAGCAGCCGCGGUAAUAC